GUGAGUGGAGUUGCAAGUGGUGUCUAAACCAUCUUUCUUUCCAAUAACGGACUGGGCCUAAACCCAAGCAGAGAGGAGUGUGAAAAGGAAAGCAGGGGGUGCAAGGAAAAAUAUAUCUAUUUUUUGUUUUAGGGUUUGGCCCAAUGUUUUUUUGUUCAGAAAUCCCUAGGGGUUUCAGCAUUUCCCCCUUCAUUCCCAACACUCAUACUCAAUUCUCAGACCCAAGAUCCCUUUCCCCUCCCGGAGGUUCACCGCCGCUCCCAGCUAGAAACCGGCCUCCACGCCACCGCCUUCCACCAGUUUUGAAAUCGCCGGCGACAGCAGGUACGUCCGACACCAAACGGCAGCCACUGCGUCACUGCUUCUAGCCACCGCCGCACGCCCAACCUCCAUCCGACUGGCAGCCGCGAGCCACCGGAGUCGCCGCCAGUCGAGGCGAAAUCUCUCCUCCUCUGUCGCUCGUCGCGCGCGGGAAGUUCUCUCCCUUCUCUGUCCAUAGUUGCCGCCAUCACAGAGGCGGAAACUGCCGCCACCGAGGCUGCCGCGAUGGGCUCUCCUAUUUCUCUUUCAAGGGUUCUUUCCUCUCCAGCAUCACCACCGGACCGACGCAUUCUUCCCUCGUUUUUCUCAUUUUUUAUUUACUCAUUUAUUGAUUAGUGGAUUGGGAACGGUGGGUGUCUGUUGUGUUCGACUGAGUAUGAGUACGAGUGUGAGUAGUGGUGGCCAUUUUUGGAAUUAAUCUGAUGGAUGUUUAUAGCAUAGAAACGUUGAGGGAGUGUAUACCCAUCUUCUAUUAUCAUUUGUAUUUGAUGAAUUUUGUUGAAACUACAUAUUGUGUGCAGUUUUGAUUAACAGAGGAAAGCAAACACAACUGUAUGCAUUGAUUGAACACAAUUUCAUUCAUCUUUCAGCAGGCAUAAGGCAAACAUAUAUAGAGCAUAUAAACGAGCAUGACCAAAGAGCUUGGAUGUGCCAGAAAAUUAUAGUGAACGUGAACAAGGGUUACCAGAUGGCAACGAGGAUACCAGGACGGAGUUGAAAGAAAAUGAAAGUUAUUUUUUAGCUCCUGUACUAAGGCUCAGUGUUUUUUCGUGAUCUCCCCUCCUCCCCUUAUGACCGUGAUGAAAACCCUUUUCAAAAAACAAUCCAAACUCCUCUCUCCCCUGCAUCCUGCGAGCUCUGGGAUAUCUUCUGGCGUGGGAUUUUCCUUUUGUUUUUUUUCUUCUCUUCAUGUUCACUGUAUCGGUUAUCAGUUGGCAGAAGCUUGCUUUCAAAAAAAAUCAUUCUUCUUUGAUGUAUACUUGCAGUCGUAAGUAGGGAAUUAUAGGAAGAAGAGUCUCUGCCUUUAGUUGCUAGCAUUGUAAAUGUAUAUGCUGUUUUUUGUCUGAAACACUGUUUACUGCUGUUUUAUGCUACAAGAAGGGGUUGACCUUGGGUUUGCUCU